GUGAGGAAUUUUGCGCAAUGGGGGCAACCCUGACGCAGCGACGCCGCGUGGAGGACGAAGUCUUUCGGGAUGUAAACUCCUGUCAGUGGGAACGAUAAUGACGGUACCCACAGAGGAAGCACCGGCUAACUCCGUGCCAGCAGCCGCGGUAAGACGGAGGGUGCAAGCGUUGUUCGGAAUUACUGGGCGUAAAGCGUACGUAGGCGGCAAGUUAAGUUCAAUGUUAAAGCCCACGGCUCAACCGAGGAGAUGCAUUGAAUACUGGCUAGCUAGAGGGUGUUAGAGGAAGACGGAAUUCCCAGUGUAGCGGUGAAAUGCGUAGAUAUUGGGAGGAACAUCGGUAGCGAAAGCGGUCUUCUGGGACACACCUGACGCUGAGGUACGAAAGCGUGGGGAGCAAACGGGAUUAGAAACCCUGGUAGUCC
rnacentral:rRNA from 1 species